rnacentral:rRNA from 1 species
GAUGAACGCUAGCGAUAGGCUUAACACAUGCCAGUCGAGGGACCGGCGCACGGGUGAGUAACGCGUAUCCAACCUGCCCAUAACUAAGGGAUAACCCAGCGAAAGUUGGACUAAUACCUUAUGGUUAUGGUUGGGGAUGCGUUUGAUUAGCUUGUUGGCGGGGUAACGGCCCACCAAGGCAACGAUCAGUAGGGGUUCUGAGAGGAAGGUCCCUGGCAUUGGAACUGAGUAACGGGCGAAACUCGUACGGGAGGCAGCAGUGAGGAAUAUGAGACAAUGAACAAGAGUCUGAACCGGCCAAGUGGCUUGGAGGAGGAGGGUAUAUGGGGUGUAAACUGCUUUUACGUGAUGAGAGUUACCAUAUGAAUAAGGACCGGCUAAUUCCGUGCCAGCAGCCGCGGUAAUUC